CUUCGGUGGGGAUUAGUGGCGAACGGGUGAGUAACACGUGGGCAAUCUGCCCUGCACUCUGGGACAAGCCCUGGAAACGGGGUCUAAUACCGGAUAUUGACCUUCACGGGCAUCUGUGAGGUUCGAAAGCUCCGGCGGUGCAGGAUGAGCCCGCGGCCUAUCAGCUUGUUGGUGAGGUAAUGGCUCACCAAGGCGACGACGGGUAGCCGGCCUGAGAGGGCGACCGGCCACACUGGGACUGAGACACGGCCCAGACUCCUACGGGAGGCAGCAGUGGGGAAUAUUGCACAAUGGGCGAAAGCCUGAUGCAGCGACGCCGCGUGAGGGAUGACGGCCUUCGGGUUGUAAACCUCUUUCAGCAGGGAAGAAGCGAAAGUGACGGUACCUGCAGAAGAAGCGCCGGCUAACUACGUGCCAGCAGCCGCGGUAAUACGUAGGGCGCAAGCGUUGUCCGGAAUUAUUGGGCGUAAAGAGCUCGUAGGCGGCUUGUCACGUCGGUUGUGAAAGCCCGGGGCUUAACCCCGGGUCUGCAGUCGAUACGGGCAGGCUAGAGUUCGGUAGGGGAGAUCGGAAUUCCUGGUGUAGCGGUGAAAUGCGCAGAUAUCAGGAGGAACACCGGUGGCGAAGGCGGAUCUCUGGGCCGAUACUGACGCUGAGGAGCGAAAGCGUGGGGAGCGAACAGGAUUAGAUACCCUGGUAGUCCACGCCGUAAACGGUGGGCACUAGGUGUGGGCAACAUUCCACGUUGUCCGUGCCGCAGCUAACGCAUUAAGUGCCCCGCCUGGGGAGUACGGCCGCAAGGCUAAAACUCAAAGGAAUUGAC
rnacentral:rRNA from 1 species